GAAGCGGGAAGAGCUCAAAUUUGAAAUCUGGCAGUCUUCGAUUGUCCGAGUUGUAAUCUAUAGAGGCGUUUUCCGUGCCGGACCGUGUCCAAGUCUCCUGGAAAGGAGUAUCAAAGAGGGUGAUAAUCCCGUACUUAACACGACCACCGGUGCUCUGUGAUACGUCUUCUACGAGUCGAGUUGUUUGGGAAUGCAGCUCAAAAUGGGUGGUGAAUUCCAUCUAAAGCUAAAUAUUGGCGAGAGACCGAUAGCGAACAAGUACCGUGAGGGAAAGAUGAAAAGCACUUUGGAAAGAGAGUUAAACAGUACGUGAAAUUGUUGAAAGGGAAACGAUUGAAGUCAGUCGUGUUCUUUGGAUUCAGCCAGUUCUGCUGGUCUACUUCCUUGGAACGGGUCAACAUCAGUUUUGUCCGGUGGAUAAAGGUAGUAGGAAUGUGACUUCUCCGGAAGUGUUAUAGCCUAUUAUCACAUACACUGGGUGAGACUGAGGACUGCAGCUCGCCUUUAUGGCCGGGC
rnacentral:rRNA from 1 species